GAUGAGCGCUAGCGGCAGGCUUAACACAUGCAAGUCGAGGGGUAUAGUUCUUCGGAGCUAGAGACCGGCGCACAGGUGCGUAACGCGUAUGCAAUCUACCUUUUGCAGAGGGAUAGCCCAGAGAAAUUUGGAUUAAUACCUCAUAGUAUGUGAGAAUGGCAUCAUUUUCACAUUAAAGUCACAACGGCAAAAGAUGUGCAUGCUUCCCAUUAGCUUGUUGGUAAGGUAACGGCUUACCAAGGCAACGAGGGGUAGGGGACCUGAGAGGGAGAUCCCCCACACUGGUACUGAGCAACGGACAAGACUCCUACGGGAGGCAGCAGUGAGGAAUAUUGGACAAUGGGCGCAAGCCUGAUCCAGCCAUGCCGCGCGCAGGAUGACGGUCCUAUGGAUUGUAAACUGCUUUUGUACAGGAAGAAACACUGGUUCGUGAACCAGCUUGACGGUACUGUAAGAAUAAGGAUCGGCUAACUCCGUGCCAGCCGCCGCAGUAAGAC
rnacentral:rRNA from 1 species